CCUACGGGGGGCUGCAGUGGGGAAUAUUGCACAAUGGGCGCAAGCCUGAUGCAGCCAUGCCGCGUGUGUGAAGAAGGCCUUCGGGUUGUAAAGCACUUUCAGCGGGGAGGAAGGCGUUAAGGUUAAUAACCUUGGCGAUUGACGUUACCCGCAGAAGAAGCACCGGCUAACUCCGUGCCAGCAGCCGCGGUAAUACGGAGGGUGCAAGCGUUAAUCGGAAUUACUGGGCGUAAAGCGCACGCAGGCGGUCUGUCAAGUCGGAUGUGAAAUCCCCGGGCUCAACCUGGGAACUGCAUUCGAAACUGGCAGGCUAGAGUCUUGUAGAGGGGGGUAGAAUUCCAGGUGUAGCGGUGAAAUGCGUAGAGAUCUGGAGGAAUACCGGUGGCGAAGGCGGCCCCCCGGACAAAGACUGACGCUCAGGUGCGAAAGCGUGGGGAGCAAACAGGAUUAGAUACCCGGGUAGUC
rnacentral:rRNA from 1 species